rnacentral:rRNA from 1 species
AUUGAACGCUGGCGGCAGGCCUAACACAUGCAAGUCGAGCGGCAGCGGGACCUUCGGGUUGCCGGCGAGCGGCGGACGGGUGAGUAAUGCCUAGGAAUCUGCCUGUUAGUGGGGGAUAACGCGGGGAAACUCGCGCUAAUACCGCAUACGUCCUACGGGAGAAAGCGGGGGCUCUUCGGACCUCGCGCUAACAGAUGAGCCUAGGUCGGAUUAGCUAGUUGGUGGGGUAAUGGCCCACCAAGGCGACGAUCCGUAACUGGUCUGAGAGGAUGAUCAGUCACACUGGAACUGAGACACGGUCCAGACUCCUACGGGAGGCAGCAGUGGGGAAUAUUGGACAAUGGGCGAAAGCCUGAUCCAGCCAUGCCGCGUGUGUGAAGAAGGUCUUCGGAUUGUAAAGCACUUUAAGUCGGGAGGAAGGGCUGUAGGCUAAUACCUUGCAGUUUUGACGUUACCGACAGAAUAAGCACCGGCUAACUUCGUGCCAGCAGCCGCGGUAA